UACGUAGGGCGCAAGCGUUAUCCGGAAUUAUUGGGCGUAAAGAGCUCGUAGGCGGUUUGUCGCGUCUGCCGUGAAAGUCCGGGGCUCAACUCCGGAUCUGCGGUGGGUACGGGCAGACUAGAGUGAUGUAGGGGAGACUGGAAUUCCUGGUGUAGCGGUGGAAUGCGCAGAUAUCAGGAGGAACACCGGUGGCGAAGGGCGGGUCUCUGGGCCGUAACUGACGCUGAGGAGCGAAAGGCGUGGGGAGCGAACAGG
rnacentral:rRNA from 1 species